rnacentral:rRNA from 1 species
UGAUGAAGGCCUUAGGGUUGUAAACCUCUUUCAGCAGGGACGAAGUGCAAGUGACGGUACCUGCAGAAGAAGCACCGGCUAACUACGUGCCAGCAGCCGCGGUAAUACGUAGGGUGCAAGCGUUGUCCGGAAUUACUGGGCGUAAAGAGUUCGUAGGCGGUUUGUCGCGUCGUUUGUGAAAACCAGCAGCUCAACUGCUGGCUUGCAGGCGAUACGGGCAGACUUGAGUACUGCAGGGGAGACUGGAAUUCCUGGUGUAGCGGUGAAAUGCGCAGAUAUCAGGAGGAACACCGGUGGCGAAGGCGGGUCUACUGGGCAGUAACUGACGCUGAGGAACGAAAGCGUGGGUAGCGAACAGGAUUAGAUACCCU